rnacentral:rRNA from 1 species
CGAAAGGGUGACGAAGCGACGCCGCGUGUGGGAAGAAGGCCUUCGGGUUGUAAACCACUGUCGGGAGUUAAGAAAUGUAAGGGUGUUAAUAGUAUCCUUACUUGACUAAGGCUCCGGAGGAAGCCACGGCUAACUCUGUGCCAGCAGCCGCGGUAAUACAGAGGCGGCAAGCGUUGUUCGGAAUUAUUGGGCGUAAAGAGCACGUAGGCGGUUCUGCAAGUCGGCUGUGAAAGCCUUCCGCUCAACGGAAGAACAGCAGUUGAUACUACAGGACUAGAGUGCGGGAGGGGAGAGUGGAACUUCUGGUGGAGCGGUGAAAUGCGUAGAUAUCAGAAGGAACGCCGGCGGCGAAAGCGACUCUCUGGCCCGUAACUGACGCUGAGUGUGCGAAAGCUAGGGGAGCAAACGGGAUUAGAUACCCCGGUAGUCCUAGCCGU